AGCGGACCGACGGGAGCUUGCUCCCUUAGGUCAGCGGCGGACGGGUGAGUAACACGUGGGUAACCUGCCUGUAAGACUGGGAUAACUCCGGGAAACCGGGGCUAAUACCGGAUGCUUGAUUGAACCGCAUGGUUCAAUCAUAAAAGGUGGCUUUCAGCUACCACUUACAGAUGGACCCGCGGCGCAUUAGCUAGUUGGUGAGGUAACGGCUCACCAAGGCGACGAUGCGUAGCCGACCUGAGAGGGUGAUCGGCCACACUGGGACUGAGACACGGCCCAGACUCCUACGGGAGGCAGCAGUAGGGAAUCUUCCGCAAUGGACGAAAGUCUGACGGAGCAACGCCGCGUGAGUGAUGAAGGUUUUCGGAUCGUAAAACUCUGUUGUUAGGGAAGAACAAGUACCGUUCGAAUAGGGCGGCACCUUGACGGUACCUAACCAGAAAGCCACGGCUAACUACGUGCCAGCAGCCGCGGUAAUACGUAGGUGGCAAGCGUUGUCCGGAAUUAUUGGGCG
rnacentral:rRNA from 1 species